AGGGACUAAGACUCCAGCUGUGUCCUCCUGCAGACGGAGCUCAGUGAGUCUGCGGCAGACGUCACUCUGCAGCGUCUAGACGAGUGUCUGGGAGUCACUGAGGACGGAGGCUGCGGUGCUGCAGGAGCAGACGCCGUCCCCAGAGGUGUGCAGCGCAGCCCGGACCAAGCCGAGCGUGAAGCUCCUGGCCCACAGGAAUGGGCAGGGGGGCCUCGAGGAGGGCCAGCUGAUCACGGCGGCAACAAUGCCUCUGCCCGCCGGCUCUCCAGACCGGGCCAAGCCUCCCUGGUACCCACCCAGAGUCCUGCCAGGCCUGUAGUGGAUGAGCAAAGCRGGCUACAGCCCAGCCAUGAGGAACUGACUCUGGACCAGGAGCUGCACAACACCGAGACUCGACUUGGUGAGAUGGAGGCCCUUCCAGAGAAAGGCCACAGGCCACUUCCACAGAAGACCUCCCAGGAACUGUACCAUCAGCCUGAUGUCAAAAGAGUUAAGGUGUACCACAGUGGAGACAGGCAUGUAUCWGUCCACGUCCGGGGGCAAAGCAUCYAAGAGGUACUUCCUCCAAAUAGAGAGUCUGAUAUCAUACUCCAGUCUAGAUUGUCUAUGGGGCGCCGUUUGUAGCAUGCUAUAUUUUGUGAUAAAGAGAGCGGAGGCGCCAGGUAGCCUAGCAGUUAAGAACGUUGGGCCAAUAACUGGUUUGAAUCCCRGAGCUGACUAUGGGAAAAAUCUGUCYWUGUGCCCUUGAGCAAGGCACUUAACCCUAAUUGCUCCUGUAAGUCGCUCUGGAUAAGAGCGUCUGCUAAAUGACUCCGAUGAAUUUCAUGCCGCAGAAUUCAUCUUUUUCACAAAACAUAGCUAGCACGUUACAAACAGCGUCCCCUAUAUCUCCUCAGUGACUGUGUGUUGCUAUAUGUUUCAGCUGCUGAACUACAGUACUGCGAGACUGGCCCUGUCCUGGUCUGCCUCCAGGCUAUGCGCUGCAGACGGCAGGCUUCUGAGCUCCUGGGUGGACAUCCACAGGGACAUGCUGCUGUGUGUGUCAACAGGACAGCCCUUCAUCAGCCCUAAAGAUUGUGGGGACAAGAUUMAGAUGAGGGCUACCUUCGCUCGAAUGAUGAGAUCUCUAGACUCUGGUAAUACCACAACAGACAGGGGACCAAAGGAGCACCUGACUACCACAAUUCCAUGUGGCUGCCAUUCUCUCCAUUGGACUGCAGAAGCAUAGAACUGUUACAAAACAACUGUACCAUGCCAGAUCAAGAUCGGUGUUAUCUACUGUUGUUGGACUGUCGCUAUGUUCAAGCAAUUCCCAAUGGGACAGUAACUACCAGGAAGUGUGUGAUGUUAUAUAUUCACCACUAGUGGGAAGCAGUGGUAUAAGCGAGUCAUAAACUCAGCAAAAAAAGAAACGUCCCUUUGUCAGGACUCUGUCUUUCAAAGCUAAUUAGUAAAAAUCCAA